GACAGAGGGGGCAAGCGUUGUCCGGAAUCACUGGGCGUAAAGCGCACGCAGGCGGCUGUGCACGUGUGGGGUGAAAGCUCGGGGCUCAACCCAGAGUCGCCCCCGCAUACGGCGCAGCUCGAGCCCGGGAGAGGUCCCUCGAAUUGCCGGUGUAGUGGUGAAAUGCGUAGAGAUCGGCAGGAAGACCCAGGGGGAAGCCAGGGGACUGGCCCGGUGCUGACGCUCAGGUGCGAUAGCGUGGGGAG
rnacentral:rRNA from 1 species